rnacentral:lncRNA from 1 species
CACUUGCGCUGUUUUUUCCGGGAGGCGGGGCUGCAGCUACGUUGGGUGGAGCCUGUGAGGAGUGGCAGACGCUCUGCCUCCGCGGGUAUUGCUAGUUUCUUUUUUGAUCGUGGGGCCCAAGUCCAGUCUCUGUUACCUGGGGAAUAUCGGUCCGCACUUGUGAAGGAGUUUAGCCUUUCUGCUGUGUUGCGUUCUUGGAACACGAGCAUAAUCGAUGGUACUAAGCUGAUGUUCAUAAAUAGGGUUGUUGUCAAGAUGGAGUGCCUAACCCAGUAAUCCAUGGACCAGGCCCUGAGUCCACAAAGCAUGAUCUCCUUCUGUCCACUCUGUGGCAAAAGUGUCAAAGUAUCAUUCAAGUUCUGCCCUUACUGUGGCGAGGCCCUGCCUGUAGAGGAGGAUGGAGGCACCCAGACUGGCAUUACGCCUCUUGUGUCACCCUUUCGAGGCUCCAAGAGAGACCUGAACUCCAGUUCUGAAACCUCCCCCAAGAAAGUGAAAUGGUCACGCACUGUCACUUCUCUCCCGCUCUCCCUCCACUCUGACUAUGACAGUUCUGGAUCUGAUGACACCUUGAGUUCUCCUGACAGAGCCACAGGCACCCGGAGCAGAUCCCAGACCCCUAAAGGCAGCCCACUUGCCAACAGGCUGAGCCCUCGGACACUGAAGCGGAGCCGGGUGACCACCUCACUCCAGGCUCUGCCCACAGGGACAGAGCUGACA